GACGAACGCUGGCGGCGUGCUUAACACAUGCAAGUCGAGCGGUAAGGCCCUUUCGGGGGUACGACGAGCGGCGAACGGGUGAGUAACACGUGGGUGACCUGCCCUCAGCUCUGGGAGUAAGCCUCGGGAAACCGGGUCUAAUACUGGAUAUGACUCCAUGACGCAUGUUGUGGGGUGGAAAGCCUUGUGCGGCUGAGGAUGGGCCCGCGGCCUAUCAGCUUGUUGGUGGGGUGANGGCCUACCAAGGCGACGACGGGUAGCCGGCCUGAGAGGGCGACCGGCCACACUGGGACGUGAGACACGGCCCAGACUCCUACGGGAGGGCAGCAGUGGGGAAGUCUUGCGCAAUGGGCGAAAGCCUGACGCAGCGACGCCGCGUGAGGGAUGACGGCCUC
rnacentral:rRNA from 1 species